CAGAGGGGGCUUAGUGGUGGGGUGACUGCGUACCUUUUGUAUAAUGGGUCAGCGACUUAUAUUCUGUAGCAAGGUUAACCGAAUAGGGGAGCCGGAGGGAAACCGAGUCUUAAUUGGGCGUUAAGUUGCAGGGUAUAGACCCGAAACCCGGUGAUCUAGCCAUGGGCAGGUUGAAGGUUGGGUAACACUAACUGGAGGACCGAACCGACUAAUGUUGAAAAAUUAGCGGAUGACCUGUGGCUGGGGGUGAAAGGCCAAUCAAACCGGGAGAUAGCUGGUUCUCCCCGAAAGCUAUUUAGGUAGCGCCUCGUGAAUUCAUCUCCGGGGGUAGAGCACUGUUUCGGCUAGGGGGCCAUCCCGGCUUACCAACCCGAUGCAAACUGCGAAUACCGGAGAAUGUUAUCACGGGAGACACACGGCGGGUGCUAACGUCCGUCGUGAAGAGGGAAACAACCCAGACCGCCAGCUAAGGUCCCAAAGUCAUGGUUAAGUGGGAAACGAUGUGGGAAGGCCCAGACAGCCAGGAUGUUGGCUUAGAAGCAGCCAUCAUUUAAAGAAAGCGUAAUAGCUCACUGGUCGAGUCGGCCUGCGCGGAAGAUGUAACGGGGCUAAACCAUGCACCGAAGCUGCGGCAGCGACGCUGAUGCGUUGUUGGGUAGGGGAGCGUUCUGUAAGCCUGCGAAGGUGGCCUGUGAGGGUUGCUGGAGGUAUCAGAAGUGCGAAUGCUGACAUAAGUAACGAUAAAGCGGGUGAAAAGCCCGCUCGCCGGAAGACCAAGGGUUCCUGUCCAACGUUAAUCGGGGCAGGGUGAGUCGACCCCUAAGGCGAGGCCGAAAGGCGUAGUCGAUGGGAAACGGGUUAAUAUUCCCGUACUUGGUGUUACUGCGAAGGGGGGACGGAGAAGGCUAUGUUGGCCGGGCGACGGUUGUCCCGGUUUAAGCGUGUAGGUGUGUGUUCCAGGUAAAUCCGGUUCACUUUAACACUGAGGCGUGAUGACGAGGCACUACGGUGCUGAAGCAACAAAUGCCCUGCUUCCAGGAAAAGCCUCUAAGCAUCAGGUAACAUCAAAUCGUACCCCAAACCGACACAGGUGGUCAGGUAGAGAAUACCAAGGCGCUUGAGAGAACUCGGGUGAAGGAACUAGGCAAAAUGGUGCCGUAACUUCGGGAGAAGGCACGCUGACACGUAGGUGAAGUGAUUUACUCAUGGAGCUGAAGUCAGUCGAAGAUACCAGCUGGCUGCAACUGUUUAUUAAAAACACAGCACUGUGCAAACACGAAAGUGGACGUAUACGGUGUGACGCCUGCCCGGUGCCGGAAGGUUAAUUGAUGGGGUCAGCGCAAGCGAAGCUCCUGAUCGAAGCCCCGGUAAACGGCGGCCGUAACUAUAACGGUCCUAAGGUAGCGAAAUUCCUUGUCGGGUAAGUUCCGACCUGCACGAAUGGCGUAAUGAUGGCCAGGCUGUCUCCACCCGAGACUCAGUGAAAUUGAACUCGCUGUGAAGAUGCAGUGUACCCGCGGCAAGACGGAAAGACCCCGUGAACCUUUACUAUAGCUUGACACUGAACAUUGAGCCUUGAUGUGUAGGAUAGGUGGGAGGCUUUGAAGUGUGG
rnacentral:rRNA from 1 species